CCAAGAUAAAUGACGAAAGUUCCGAUCAGCCUCGCCAUAAUAGCCUGUCAAGCGCCAAUUACCAACCCCUUCAAUAAAAACUUCGGUGUCAAUAUGGUGUUGCGAUGAGCUAAGAAGAGUAAUAGAAGAAACCAAUCUCCACAGUAAAGCCAGACCCCCACUAUGACCCAAGCAAUCCACACUGAAGAAACCAUCAUAAACCAACAAGUCUUUUAUUUCAUUCACCCGAGCAGAACAACAUAAAGUUUCAAUUAAGAAAAGAAAAUUUGGCCUCUUAACUCUAACCAUCUCUUUCAGGACCUGAACUGCUCGUGGGUUGCCAAGCCCACGACAGUUCCA
rnacentral:lncRNA from 1 species